ACGGGAGGCAGCAGUGGGGGAUAUUGCACAAUGGGGGAAACCCUGAUGCAGCGACGCCGCGUGAGUGAAGAAGUGUUUCGGUAUGUAAAGCUCUAUCAGCAGGAAAGAUAAUGACGGUACCUGACUAAGAAGCACCGGCUAAAUACGUGCCAGCAGCCGCGGUAAUACGUAGGGGGCAAGCGUUAUCCGGAUUUACUGGGUGUAAAGGGAGUGUAGGUGGCCUGGCAAGCCAGAUGUGAAAGCCCGCGGCUCAACCGCGGGACUGCAUUUGGAACUGUUAGGCUUGAGUGCAGGAGAGGAAAGUGGAAUUCCUAGUGUAGCGGUGAAAUGCGUAGAUAUUAGGAGGAACACCAGUGGCGAAGGCGGCUUUCUGGACUGUAACUGACACUGAGGCCCGAAAGCGUGGGGAGCAAACAGGAUUAGAUACCCUGGUA
rnacentral:rRNA from 1 species